CCUACGGGAGGCUGCAGUGAGGAAUAUUGGUCAAUGGACGAGAGUCUGAACCAGCCAAGUAGCGUGAAGGAUGACUGCCCUAUGGGUUGUAAACUUCUUUUAUAUGGGAAUAAAACGUUCCACGUGUGGGAUUUUGUAUGUACCAUAUGAAUAAGGAUCGGCUAACUCCGUGCCAGCAGCCGCGGUAAUACGGAGGAUCCGAGCGUUAUCCGGAUUUAUUGGGUUUAAAGGGAGCGUAGGUGGAUUGUUAAGUCAGUUGUGAAAGUUUGCGGCUCAACCGUAAAAUUGCAGUUGAAACUGGCAGUCUUGAGUACAGUAGAGGUGGGCGGAAUUCGUGGUGUAGCGGUGAAAUGCUUAGAUAGCACGAAGAACCCCGAUUGCGAAGGCAGUUCACUGGACUGCAACUGACACUGAGGCUCGAAAGUGUGGGUAUCAAACAGGAUUAGAUACCCUAGUAGUC
rnacentral:rRNA from 1 species